rnacentral:rRNA from 1 species
UACAGAGGGGGCAAGCGUUAUUCGGAAUUAUUGGGCGUAAAGGGCGCGUAGGCGGCCUGGCAAGUGGAAGGUGAAAUCCCUCGGCUUAACCGAGGAACUGCCUCCCAAACUGCUUGGCUUGAGACCAGGAGAGGUGAGUGGAAUUCCCAGUGUAGCGGUGAAAUGCGUAGAUAUUGGGAGGAACACCAGUGGCGAAGGCGGCUCACUGGACUGGUACUGACGCUGAGGCGCGAAAGCUAGGGGAGCAAACAGG